UCAGGCAUGGUGUAAUGGCAACACAGCCUGGUGUAGGAAUGUGGGAGGCAAUCCAGGGUUCGAAUCCCUGUGGCUGAA